GCCACCUUAGCUCAGGGGUAGAGCAACGCACUCGUAAUGCGUAGGUCGUCAGUUCAAAUCUGACAGGUGGCUC
rnacentral:tRNA from 1 species